rnacentral:rRNA from 1 species
GAUGAACGCUGGCGGCGUGCCUAAUACAUGCAAGUCGAGCGAACAGACGAGGAGCUUGCUCCUCUGAGGUUAGCGGCGGACGGGUGAGUAACACGUGGAUAACCUACCUAUAAGACUGGGAUACCUUCGGGAAACCGGAGCUAAUACCGGAUAAUAUAUUGAACCGCAUGGUUCAAUAGUGAAAGACGGUUUUGCUGUCACUUAUAGAUGGAUCCGCGCCGCAUUAGCUAGUUGGUAAGGUAACGGCUUACCAAGGCAACGAUGCGUAGCCGACCUGAGAGGGUGAUCGGCCACACGGGAACUGAGACACGGCCCAGACUCCUACGGGAGGCCGCAGUAGGGAAUCUUCCGCAAUGGGCGAAAGCCUGACGGAGCAACGCCGCGUGAGGGAUGAAGGUCUUCGGAUCGUAAAACUCUGUUAUUAGGGAAGAACAAAUGUGUAAGUAACUAUGCACGUCUUGACGGUACCUAAUCAGAAAGCCACGGCUAACUACGUG